UACGUAGGGUGCAAGCGUUAAUCGGAAUUACUGGGCGUAAAGCGUGCGCAGGCGGCUUUGCAAGACAGAUGUGAAAUCCCCGGGCUUAACCUGGGAACUGCAUUUGUGACUGCAUGGCUGGAGUGCGGCAGGAGGGGAUGGAAUUCCGGCGUGUAGCAGUGGAAAAUGCGUAGAUAUGCGGAGGGAACACCGAUGGCGAAGGGCAAUCCCCUGGGCCUGCACUGACGCUCAUGCACGAAAAGCGUGGGGAGCGAAACAAG
rnacentral:rRNA from 1 species